UGGGGAAUUUUGGACAAUGGGCGAAAGCCUGAUCCAGCAAUGCCGCGUGUGUGAAGAAGGCCUUCGGGUUGUAAAGCACUUUUGUCCGGAAAGAAAUCCUUGGCUCUAAUACAGUCGGGGGAUGACGGUACCGGAAGAAUAAGCACCGGCUAACUACGUGCCAGCAGCCGCGGUAAUACGUAGGGUGCAAGCGUUAAUCGGAAUUACUGGGCGUAAAGCGUGCGCAGGCGGUUUGCUAAGACCGAUGUGAAAUCCCCGGGCUCAACCUGGGAACUGCAUUGGUGACUGGCAGGCUAGAGUAUGGCAGAGGGGGGUAGAAUUCCACGUGUAGCAGUGAAAUGCGUAGAGAUGUGGAGGAAUACCGAUGGCGAAGGCAGCCCCCUGGGCCAAUACUGACGCUCAUGCACGAAAGCGUGGGGAGCAAACAGGAUUAGAUACCCUGGUAGUCCACGCCCUAAACGAUGUCAACUAGUUGUUGGGGAUUCAUUUCCUAGUAACGUAGCUAACGCGUGAAGUUGACCGCCUGGGGAGUACGGUCGCAAGAUUAAAACUU
rnacentral:rRNA from 1 species